CGUCGCCACGGUAAUACGUAGGGUGCAAGCGUUAAUCGGAAUUACUGGGCGUAAAGCGUGCGCAGGCGGUUAUAUAAGACAGAUGUGAAAUCCCCGGGCUCAACCUGGGAACUGCAUUUGUGACUGUAUAGCUAGAGUACGGCAGAGGGGGAUGGAAUUCCGCGUGUAGCAGUGAAAUGCGUAGAUAUGCGGAGGAACACCGAUGGCGAAGGCAAUCCCCUGGGCCUGUACUGACGCUCAUGCACGAAAGCGUGGGGAGCAAACAGGAUUAGAUACCCCUGUAGUCCCUGUCUCUUAUACA
rnacentral:rRNA from 1 species